rnacentral:pre_miRNA from 1 species
ACUUGUGUCCCCCCGUUUCAAAUGUCUACUGAUGGAAGUUGGUUCCAUCAGUGGGUAUUUGAAGUUGAGAGACGCAGAA